rnacentral:tRNA from 1 species
GAGCCAUUGGUGAAGUUGGUAUCACAUCCUAGUCAGCCAGGGGAUCAGAGGUUCAAGUCCUCUAUGGCUCA